GACGAACGCUGGCGGCGUGCCUAAUACAUGCAAGUUGAGCGCUGAAGGUUGGUACUUGUACCAACUGGAUGAGCAGCGAACGGGUGAGUAACGCGUGGGGAAUCUGCCUUUGAGCGGGGGACAACAUUUGGAAACGAAUGCUAAUACCGCAUAAAAACUUUAAACACAAGUUUUAAGUUUGAAAGAUGCAAUUGCAUCACUCAAAGAUGAUCCCGCGUUGUAUUAGCUAGUUGGUGAGGUAAAGGCUCACCAAGGCGAUGAUACAUAGCCGACCUGGGAGGGUGAUCGGCCACAUUGGGACUGAGACACGGCCCAAACUCCUACGGGAGGCAGCAGUAGGGAAUCUUCGGCAAUGGACGAAAGUCUGACCGAGCAACGCCGCGUGAGUGAAGAAGGUUGUCGGAUCGUAAAACUCUGUUGGUAGAGAAGAACGUUGGUGAGAGUGGAAAGCUCAUCAAGUGACGGUAACUACCCAGAAAGGGACGGCUAACUACGUG
rnacentral:rRNA from 1 species